rnacentral:tRNA from 4 species
UGAGGCAUAGCGCAGUUUGGUAGCGCGCUUGGUUAGGGACCAAGAGGUCGUGGGUUCAAGUCCCGUUGCCUCAACCA